rnacentral:rRNA from 1 species
GAGUUUGAUCCUGGCUCAGAACGAACGCUGGCGGCAGGGUUUAGGCAUGCAAGUCGCACGGGAAAGUCGCAAGAUGAGUACAGUGGCGUAAGGGUGAGUAAUAGAUAGCUGACCUACCCAUCGGACGCGGAUAAUUCCUCGAAAGGGGUUGUAAUACGCGAUGAGACCACGGGCAUCACGGUGCUUGUGAUCAAAGGCUGGGGAUCCUUCGGGACCCAGCGGCCGGUGGAGGGGGCGAUCUCUGAUUAGGUAGUUGGCGGGGUAACGGCCCACCAAGCCGAUGAUCAGUAGCCGGGCUGAGAGGCUGUCCGGCCACACGGGCACUGAGACAC